rnacentral:rRNA from 1 species
UACAGAGGUGGCAGGCGUUGUUCGGAAUUACUGGGCGUAAAGGGCGCGUAGGCGGCCUGACAAGUCAGAUGUGAAAGCCCCGGGCUUAACCUGGGAAUUGCAUCUGAAACUGUAAGGCUUGAGUUCUGGAGGGGGUAGUGGAAUUCCCAGUGUAGCGGUGAAAUGCGUAGAUAUUGGGAGGAACACCUGCGGCGAAGGCGGCUACCUGGACAGAAACUGACGCUGAGGCGCGAAAGCUAGGGGAG